AAUCCAGCGUGCUUUCGGAGAACAGAGGCCGCGACACCUCGGACUCUAGUUUACUCAAUAAGAGGAAUUUUUGAAGAUUGUGAUUGUUGUCCGGGAGCCGGAGCACGCGGAUGAGGAAAUUCAAUGUCGGCUCCUCGAGCGGCUGCCGGACGAAGUAUUCGAUAAGCCAGUUGGCGAUGUUCGGAUCGAUGUCCAUGGCAGAUAUCUCUCUCCUCUUCAGCUGAUUCUCUCUCAC
rnacentral:lncRNA from 1 species